GUUAAAUACUGUUGUAGUAAUAUGGCUACAGGUUCAUCUGCCUCACCUAAAGCCCAUUCUGGUGGGAAGCUGCUAUAGACAGUCAGUAUCUGGAUAAUGUUAAAUACUGUUGUAGUAAUAUGGCUACAGGUUCAUCUGCCUCCCCUAAAGCCCAUUCUGGUGGGAAGCUGCUAUAGACCACCAAGUGCUAACAGUCAGUAUCUGGAUAAUGUUAAAUACUGUUGAAGUAAUAUGGCUACAGGUUCAUCUGCCUCACCUAAAGCCCAUUCUGGUGGGAAGCUGCUAUAGACCACCACGUGCUAACAGUCAGUAUCUGGGUAACGUGUGAAAUGUUUGAUAAUGUAAGUGAUAUCAACAGAGAGGUAUAUUUUCUGGGUGAUUUUCAAUAUUUACUGGCUUUAAUCAGGCUGCCCACUCAAGACAAAGCUUCAAACUGUAACCAGUACCUGCAACCUGGUUCAGGUUAUCAGUCAACCUACCAGGGUAGUUACAAACAGCACAGGAAUGACAUCAUCAACAUGUAUUGAUCACAUCUUUACUGAUGAUGCAGAUAUUUGCUUUAAAGCCGUAUCUAGAUCCAUAGGAUGUAGUGAUCACAAUAUAGCAGCCAUAUCUAGGAAAACCAAAGGCUGGGCCUAAUAUAGUGUAUAAGAGGUCAGGCUGGGCCUAAUAUAGUGUAUAAGAGGUCAGGCUGGGCCUAAUAUAGUGUAUAAGAGGUCAGGCUGGGCCUAAUAUAGUGUAUAAGAGGUCAGGCUGGGCCUAAUAUAGUGUAUAAGAGGUCAGGCUGGGCCUAAUAUAGUGUAUAAGAGGUCAGGCUGGGCCUAAUAUAGUGUAUAAGAGGUCAGGCUGGGCCUAAUAUAGUGUAUAAGAGGUCAGGCUGGGCCUAAUAUAGUGUAUAAGAGGUCAGGCUGGGCCUAAUAUAGUGUAUAAGAGGCCAGGCUGGGCCUAAUAUAGUGUAUAAAGAGGUCAGGCUGGGCCUAAUAUAGUGUAUAAGAGGUCAGGCUGGGCCUCAUAUAGUGUAUAAGAGUCAUACAAGAAGUUUUGUAGUGAUUCCUAUGUUGAUGAUGUAAAUAAUAUUUGCUGGUCUGUGGUGUGUAAUGAGGAGCAACCAGACGCUGCUGGUCUGUGGUGUGUAAUGAGGAGCAACCAGGCACGCUUCUGGUCUCCGGGCAGCCGAGCGGAAAUGGAGGAAAACUCGCCUCCCUGCGGACCUGGCAUCCUUUCACUCCCUCCUCUCUACAUUUUCCUCCUCUGUCUCUCUGCUGCUAAAGCCACUUUCUACCAUUCUAAAUUCCAAGCAUCUGCCUCUAACCCUAGGAAGC